rnacentral:lncRNA from 1 species
CCUAAACACCCCAAAAUCAUACAUAUUAAAUUAGUGCUAUGCUAAUAUUUCAAAAUAAUUACUAAAAAUUUAUAAAAAUCUUAAUUUCUAAACCAUCAUUAUAAUAAGGGAAAUAAGCCACUGACCUCAUCCUGUUUCCUUCACAGCAUGAUCAGAGAGGUGAGGUAGCAUGGUGAAACCCCUUUAGGGGAUUAAAUCAAAGAGAGAGG